GUCAGCCGCUGCACAGGGCGUAGAAGACAUGGAUGGUGCGCUAAAGCAGGCGAAUACCAAGGGCAGCCUCUUAUAAUAAAGGUAACGGCCGCUGUGCGAACGCGAGAGACGCCGACCUGCCUUUGGACUCUGCUGUCACUGGGCAGCUUUGGGUGUUUUGCUGUCACUGAGUGUUUGAUAUUUGCCCUCACUUUCCGGGUUUUAAUGUUGUACUUAGAAAUAUUGCCAAGACAUCAGAAAACUGCAUUUUGUCGGCUGCCGUGAUUCACAAAACGAACAAGGGAGGAUCUAAAUGCAAUAUUAGCUAAAGAAAAAAGGAACGAUCUCUGAUUUUCAUGAUUCAGUCAGCAUGAGCUCUAAAAGCCAUUUGCAAAAUGGGAAAAAUUGAGCAUCAUAUGAAUAAUUCAACCAAUCCUCUUUUACUCACUCACUAAUCUCUCUCUCUCUCUCGGUCUCUCUCUGUUAACUCUUAAUAGUCUUUACCAAAAAUGGCCGGACAUGGCUCUAAGGUGAAUUUGCUCAUUAGGUGUGGCAGGCAGCUCGGACAGAGCCUCUUCCUCCUUGUACACUACAUCAGUGUGUUUGUGAGCUUGGUGGCACGCUCCAUCAGCCUCCUGAUGGUGUUUGCACGCUGGACAAUUGCGCUGUCGCACUACACGGCGGCCACCUUUGACACUCUCUAUAAGUACCUGCACUGGUGGAGCAGGAGGGGCGGAGUCAGCGUGGAUCUCCACCCGGGGAGCGAUGCCGAGUCCGACUGACUCCGCCGGCCGGUCUCUGGAAUCUGAGAGGCCUCCGGGGGAUGGUGCCUCUGCACUGAGCCCAAGCAGAGACUGGACUCCAGACGAACAAGGCGAGGAGGUGCAAGGCAGCAGAUCAUUGUCAUCCCUGGAGACCCAUAGAUGCGCCAACGUGUGACAACAUUGAUCGUCGUGGUGGUAGAAGAUGAUCACAGGCCAAGCAGAGACAAUUCAGUGUCUCUUGACGGACAACAGCCAAGCCAUCUUGUGUUCCGUUUGUCAUGGCAGCACAACUUGGAGUGAAGCUGUCCGUUUCUGCUUACAGUCAAUGGCACAGCGCCUCACGUGUGCCACACAGCAUCUCUGUUCUGCAAACUCAAGGAGAGCAGACGGGACUGAGCAUGGCUCUGAGUAUGGCUCUGAGUAUGGCUCUGAGCAGGCCUGACGGAACACCUGUCUGUCUCCGGCUGUGGACAUGGGGGGUGUGCCAGCAAGUUAAAGUUAGACAUUUUCGCUAUGAACCACAAGACGCAUAACAAAGAGAGCGGGGCAUGAAGUCCGCUUGUCUGUCUGCCUUUUAAAUACUCAGCGUGGUAUUUGGUUUUAAAAAUGGCUGAAAUAAUUAGGCUUGAUCGGUUUGCAUUAAUUGCAGGUAAUUUGUUCAUGAUUGUUCAUCACUGCACUCAUAAAAAUGCUACAAACAUACCCGAGUGACCCCCCCCCGGCCAAUUCUCUAGAUUUUCACACACUAUAUACUACAAUAACUUUUGGUAAAACUGUUAAUAAUAGACAUAUUCUAUGUGAAAACUGAGACAUACAAAAUUGAAUAAACAUGGAUAUCCAGAAGAUGUGGUGCAGUGCAGUGCAUGCCCCCGCCCCCCGGCAGGGAAGCCUCUUAGCACGGCAAAAUAACUGCUAGAAGCCAGAGAACAGAUACACACGGGAUUAGGAAAAGUCAUUUGCUGAAGACAUGUGCUUCCAGAAAUCCAUUUAUGACCUGGCUUACAAAUGAUAUGAUUUGUCAUUUUAGUCCAAAUGAAACUGCUUGCUGUAUGUGCCCCCCCUACCCCACUCUACCCACAAGGGUGCAAACUGCCCUCCCCCUCUUUAUUCUGGCUGACACUAAAUGGGAAAACAUGCAGAAGUAUUAAAUAAGCUCCCCACCUGUCACAGUGCCUCAGAUAACUGCGGGGCCUUUAUGUGUUUGCUGACAUCUGCUGUAAUAGCCCUAGUGAGACACUAGUGCACAGUGUGGCAGGCCUUGACGGUACAGAGAGCGCAUUAGUGAUGCAUUGAGCCCAGUAGAAUAAGGCCUUCACUGUGAAAAAUAUGGCAGCGCGAGCCUUUCACGCAAGAUCAUAAGCCUGAAGUCAGCACUGCAUUCCGAACGUGAUGCCAGUGCAAUCAUGGACUGCGGAAUGCAUCUGAAUUGGGGGAGGGUUGGAAUAUUCACAGAUAUAUAUAUUACUGUUGUAUGACUACAGAACAGUUCAAAGUUUUAUGAAUAAAAUUUUAUUGGUUUGCUUUAAAUAAUUUGCAAGCAAUUUUUUCUUGAUUGUUCAUCACUGCGUUCUUAAUGAUGCACAAUGCACAAUGGCAAUGAUAUAAUUCAGUCAAGUCAUUUUAUAUCUGUCCUGGCCAUCAAAGCGAUCAAUCUGUUGAUCAAAUAUUGCAGUGUGCCACUGAAACAUCUGGGAAUACUCUGUUUCUGUGAAGGACCAUUAUGCUUCACUAGUUUUUAGAGAGGAACCUUCCAGUGACCGAACCUCUGUGAGUGACGAGUUUAUCGCAAACGACGGGCGACACUCUACUGGGCUGGGAGGAGUCAGAAAGUGUCUCUCUAAGCCAUCUAAUUACCUCUAGUGGAUUAUUGUCAGCGAUUAGCCACAACUUGCUAUUAAAAAGUCCCUCACGCUGUA